AGCGAACGUUUGCGGCGGGCCUAACACAUGCAAGUCGAACGGGCAGUCCCUUCGGGGGCUGUCAGUGGCGCACGGGUGCGGUAACACGUAGGUAAUCAACCCUCGGGUUCGGGAUAACACGUUCGAAAGGGGUGCUAAUACCGGAUGCGACGAGCGUCUCCUCGGAGAUGCACGGGAAAGAUCCGCAAGGGUCGCCCGAGGACGAGCCUGCGGCCCAUCAGCUUGUUGGUGAGGUAAUGGGCUCACCAAGGCUAAGACGGGUAGCUGGUCUGAGAGGAUGAUCAGUCACACUGGAACUGAGACACGGUCCAGACUCCUACGGGAGGCAGCAGUGGGGAAUAUUGCGCAAUGGGCGAAAGCCUGACGCAGCCACGCCGCGUGAGCGAUGAAGGCCU
rnacentral:rRNA from 1 species